UACAUUAGGAUUUCUUGAUUUUUUGUUCUCCGUAGAUCUCUAGCUAUCCCUCUCCCUCUUCCUCCUCCGUUCUUCUUAAGUAAUGGUGGUCAUUACUCCUUCUGUCGACGCAACGAUUCACGAUUCCGUAACGUUUCUCCAAUCCAUUUAUAUAGAGUUCUCGAGCCAUUCGAUACAGAGCAGUAGCCUCUCCUCCCGUAACGCCUUCUCCAUACUCCUAUAUAUUGAGGUCCUCUAUCAUGCGUCGUCCUUCCACCUUUAACUCUUCUCCUCCACCUUUUAGUCGAUCAUCUCUGCACUAUUGGAUUCUCGCCGCAAACCCUAAACACUUUCCCCAAUUCCUCUUUCUCUCUCGAAGAAUCCGAAUUCACGCUUUGAAAUAUCUGAUGACAAAAAAAAGUGUAACCCUUUUGAAAGAUUCAACGGCAGCAUCUUCAAGCGACGAGGAUGAGUCUCGGCCGCCUGCUAAUCUAGAUUAGCUGGUGGAAAAUCGGGAACAAAGCGGUGAAGGCAUAGACAAUUCAAAGCGAGCAAAGAAGGAUACUUCAGCUUCAUCCUUUACACAGGGGGAAUCAAAGUGUAUGUUGAAGAUGUACUCUCUAUUUGCGUUUCUGGAUUUCGAGUUAGCUGCUCUCAUUCAAGAAGAGAAGUUCCUCAGCUUAGUUUCAGUCUUAGAGUUGGACAGUGUACUUACCUGAGCUUUAGGGAGAUUAUGAAAGGUGUUGAGCUCUUUGGUUUUAGAGCUUUUGUGGUCGUAAAUCCUUACUCUUGUGCUGCACAUAAGUCGUAGAACUUCUGUAGAAUUGUAAGGUUUUAUCUGCACAGUAAAACAGUAACACUGUCGUUUUCUUUGCGGAAUAAGAGUUUCAUCCACAGCAACAAAGGAAGACACUUUACCACCGAUAUGAUCACAUUUGAUUUUGAAAAAGGAGGAGGAGGUUGAAACAAGUAUCUAUCCACUGGCGGUUAAGAUAGAGCCAGCUCCGGAAGAUGGAAAGUCUGGAUCAUCAUCCACGAAUGCUCAGAUUACUAAAGCAAGCCACAUACGUGAAGGAGAAAGGUGAGAUCAAGCCAAGUGUGAUGAAGCAGUUCCUAUGGGUGAAUGGGUCGAGAUAUGAGCUGCAAGAUAUCUAUGGGAUUGGGAACACGGUUGAUGGGGCAGAUGCAAAAGAAUUGCGUUGUCUGAACCACGUGAUACCAUUGUUAUGUCUUGCAGACAAAUGUGUAUGUGUAGUAGAUGUGCUAAGAGAGGAAAAGACAAAACAACAAUGUCAUUUUGGAGAAAAGUUUAUACUUUUUUUUAAUCUUCUUCUCUUCCCCAACACAGACUCCAAAGUUCUAAGUUUUUGGCUGCAAAUUCCUCAUUGAACCUGAACUCUUCCUCUGUUACAAGUUUUUACAAUUUAAAAAUCAGUUAGUAGCUUUAGAUGUCCAAAAUCCUUCUCAGUUUCUUUUCUAAUUUUCUUCUGCUCUUCCUUUGAAUGUUGCAGGAGACUGGAAACAUCGAUGUGAAAGGGGGAGGGGAUGCCAACGACAUGAAGGUGUGGAGAAGAGUCGGUGAUUAGGAGUUGUGUUUUAUAAAAAAUGUAUUAUGUCUUUAUCUUGCGUCUUUAAGAAUAACUACUUUCCAACUUUAUUUUUGUCUUUAAGAACUACCGUCUUCACACAAUAUAUUCGGCUCUGAAUAGGUC